GACGAACGCCGUCGGCGUGCUUAACACAUGCAAGUCGAACGGAAAGGCCCUGCUUUUGUGGGGUGCUCGAGUGGCGAACGGGUGAGUAACACGUGAGUAACCUGCCCUUGACUUUGGGAUAACUUCAGGAAACUGGGGCUAAUACCGGAUAGGAGCUCCUGCUGCAUGGUGGGGGUUGGAAAGUUUCGGCGGUUGGGGAUGGACUCGCGGCUUAUCAGCUUGUUGGUGGGGUAGUGGCUUACCAAGGCUUUGACGGGUAGCCGGCCUGAGAGGGUGACCGGCCACAUUGGGACUGAGAUACGGCCCAGACUCCUACGGGAGGCAGCAGUGGGGAAUAUUGCACAAUGGGCGGAAGCCUGAUGCAGCGACGCCGCGUGCGGGAUGACGGCCUUCGGGUUGUAAACCGCUUUCGCCUGUGACGAAGCGUGAGUGACGGUAAUGGGUAAAGAAGCACCGGCUAACUACGUGCCAGCAGCCGCGGUGAUACGUAGGGUGCGAGCGUUGUCCGGAUUUAUUGGGCGUAAAGGGCUCGUAGGUGGUUGAUCGCGUCGGAAGUGUAAUCUUGGGGCUUAACCCUGAGCGUGCUUUCGAUACGGGUUGACUUGAGGAAGGUAGGGGAGAAUGGAAUUCCUGGUGGAGCGGUGGAAUGCGCAGAUAUCAGGAGGAACACCAGUGGCGAAGGCGGUUCUCUGGGCCUUUCCUGACGCUGAGGAGCGAAAGCGUGGGGAGCGAACAGGCUUAGAUACCCUGGUAGUCCACGCUGUAAACGGUGGGUACUAGGUGUGGGGUCCAUUCCACGGGUUCCGUGCCGUAGCUAACGCUUUAAGUACCCCGCCUGGGGGGUACGGCCGCAAGGCUAAAACUCAAAGGAAUUGACGGGGCCCCGCACAAGCGGCGGAGCAUGCGGAUUAACUCGAUGCAACGCGUAGAACCUUACCUGGGUUUGACAUGGAUCGGGAGUGCUCAGAGAUGGGUGUGCCUCUUUUGGGGUCGGUUCACAGGUGGUGCAUGCCUGUCGUCAGCUCGUGUCGUGAGAUGUUGGGUUAAGUCCCGCAACGAGCGCAACCCUUGUUCACUGUUGCCAGCACGUUAUGGUGGGGACUCAGUGGAGACCGCCGGGGUCAACUCGGAGGAAGGUGGGGAUGACGUCAAGUCAUCAUGCCCCUUAUGUCCAGGGCUCCACGCAUGCUACAAUGGCUGGUACAGAGAGUGGCGAGCCUGUGAGGGUGAGCGAAUCUCGGAAAGCCGGUCUCAGUUCGGAUUGGGGUCUGCAACUCGACCUCAUGAAGUCGGAGUCGCUAGUAAUCGCAGAUCAGCAACGCUGCGGUGAAUACGUCCCCGGGGCU
rnacentral:rRNA from 1 species